CAGCCGCCGCGGGAAUACGGAGGGUGCAAGCGUUAAUCGGAAUUACUGGGCGUAAAGCGCACGCAGGCGGUUUGUUAAGUCAGAUGUGAAAUCCCCGAGCUUAACUUGGGAACUGCAUUUGAAACUGGCAAGCUAGAGUCUUGUAGAGGGGGGUAGAAUUCCAGGUGUAGCGGUGAAAUGCGUAGAGAUCUGGAAGAAUACCGGUGGCGAAGGAGGCCCCCUGGACAAAGACUGACGCUCAGGUGCGAAAGCGUGGGGAGCAAACAGGAUUAGAUACCCGCGUAGUCCCUGUCUCUUAUAC
rnacentral:rRNA from 1 species